UGUAGUCUGGAUUGAAGAGACGACCCAAGCAGGCUUUGUGUGAGCAGUGAGGCUAUUUAUUCACUUGGGUGCGAGCUCACACAAAGCCUGCUUGGGUUUUCUCUUCAAUCCAG
ensembl:miRNA